AUGCUAGAACAUAGUCUAAAGGCCUGUCUCCACCCUGCAGGUUGCAGGCAGCUGAUGGGGAUAGUUAUGCAGCCAUCCUGUCGCGCUCUCUUCUCCCAACAAAGAACUUACACACGAGAUGCUCAGAGAGAGUGGUAUUCAGUUAACAGAACAACAAUUAUUCGUAGAAGCUGCAUCAGACAACUGAAGAUGAAAAAACUACCAUCCCCAUAUAUAACUAAUUUGUGCUGUGCACCAACAAGAACCUGCUUUCAAUUUCCAUGCCAAUUUACAACCCCCAUACUGUACCAGGCAAGGUUAGUGGCUAUUGAAAAUACCACCAGGACAGGGCUAUCUAAAGACACAUUCGGUAGUGUGUUAACUAUACAAAAAAAGACACUGUACAGUUUAAAAACAAAUCUUACACAGCCUUACAUUUCAAUUUUUUUUCUUUAAAAGGAGUGAGUUGUGUACAGGGGGGUUAAAUGCUUUAUAGACAAGAAAAAAAAAAAACUGCGCUAGAACCAACUUAUUCAUCAUCAUCAUCUUCUUCUUUCUCCUCAUCCUCUUCAUCUUCCUCCUCUUCCUUCUUUUUCUUGCUUUUUUCAGCCUUGGCAACUCCCUUUUUCGCUGCAUCAGGCUUCCCUUUAGCUCGGUAUGCAGCAAUAUCCUUUUCGUAUUUUUCCUUCAGCUUAGCAGCCUUCUUCUCAUAAGGCUGCUUGUCAUCCGCAGCAGUGUUAUUCCACAUCUGUCCCAGUUUCUUUGCAACAUCACCAAUGGACAGGCCAGGAUGUUCGCCUUUGAUUUUUGGACGAUACUCAGAACAAAACAAGAAAAAGGCCGAAGGAGGCCUCUUGGGUGCAUUGGGAUCCUUGAACUUCUUUUUUGUUUCCCCUUUAGGAGGGAUAUAAGUUUUCAUUUCUCUUUCAUAACGGGCCUUGUCCGCCUUUGCCAUGUCUUCAAAUUUUCCUUUCUCUUUAGCAGACAUGGUCUUCCACCUCUCUGAGCACUUCUUAGAAAACUCUGAGAAGUUGACUGAAGCAUCCGGGUGCUUCUUCUUGUGCUCCUCCCGGCAAGUUUGCACAAAGAAUGCAUAUGAUGACAUUUUGCCUCUCGGCUUCUUAGGAUCUCCUUUGCCCAUGAUUAAUUAUUUUUCCUCCGCGAGGCACAGAGUCGCCCAGUGCCCGUCCGGCUCUCACUUGCCCCGGCGCUGUCUCUAUGGAGCUCAAUGUACUCCAGAGUUUUCUUAAGGAAAGGUCCUGGUUCUUAAAAAUAAAAUGGUCUUGAAGAUUACUUCUAGCUCAGACGUUCUAGAAAAACAAGUUUGAAACUGCUUACCCUCAGAAGUAUUUUAAAAAUCAAUUAUACUCUGACUGAAAACAUCAUAUUUUGCAUGAAAGGAGAGAAGAGCGUGGGUUUCGUUUUUUUCUUCUAGUUUAAGAUGAGCCUGUUGACAUGUCAUUGUGAAAAUAUGGGAGCCUGCGGUGGCAUGUGAAUUCAUGUUUCUGGAUCCUCAGUUUAGCCUGAGAAAUGAUACUGGAUGGAAGACAUCCUGUUCACCCAAAGAAAAUAGCCUCUCACUGUGAUUUCCUUUGGUAAAUAUCAUUUUGGAGAAAGAUGGCAUCAUUUCUUUUGGAAGUUUUCCCUUCAUCAUUCCUCAGAGUGUAUUUCCAUUGAGCUCCCUGGAGAAAAAAAAGGCAAGUGAAAGGGAAAUCAGAGAGUAUGUCUACUGAGAGUACCUAGUGUCCCAUCUGAACUUCUGGGAGAUGGAAACACUCCUCGCCAGCCCACGUGACUCACUGCCGUACUCUUCCGCCUGCAGCCCCCAGGUCAAUGGUGCUGCCAGCAUAUCUGUUUUAUUAACUAAAUGGAAUUUGCAUGCAUCAGGCUACUAGUGAUUUAGCAAGAAAUAUCAACAUUCAGAAAACUAAGAUCAUGGCAUCUGGUCCCAUCACUUCAUGGGAAAUAGAUGGGGAAACAGUGGCAGACUUUAUUUUUUGGGGGCUCCAUAAUCACUGCAGAUGGUGAUUGCAGCCAUGAAAUUAAAAGACACUUACUUCUUGGAAGGAAAGUUAUGACCAACCUAGAUAGCAUAUUAAAAAGCAGAGACAUUACUUUGCCAACAAAGGUCCAUCUAGUCAAAGCUAUGGUUUUUCCAGUGGUCAUAUAUGGAUGUGAGAGUUGGACUGUGAAGAAAGCUGAGCACCAAAGAAUUGAUGCUUUUGAACUGUGGUGUUGGAGAAGACUCUUGAGAGUCCCUUGGACUGCAAGGAGAUCCAACCAGUCCAUCCUAAAGGAGAUCAGUCCUGGGUGUUCAUUGGAAGGACUGAUGCUAAAGCUGAAACUCCAAUACUUUGGCCACCUCAUGUGAAGAGUUGACUCAUUGGAAAAGACUCUGAUGCUGGGAGGGAUUGGGGGCAGGAGGGGAAGGGGACGACAGAGGAUGAGAUGGCUGGAUGGCAUCACCACUCAGUGGAUGUGAGUUUGAGUGAACUCCGGGAGUUGGUGAUGGAUAGGGAGGCCUGGCGUGCUGCAUUUCAUGGGGUUGCAAAGAGUCGGGCACGACCGAGCAACUGAACUGAACUGAGUAUGUAUGUUGCAAAAGUCAUCGACUCUCAUGGAAAUUAAAGUUGAGGUCCACUUUUCUGCUCAAAUGCUUCAUCCUUAUGUAGGCAAAUCCCAUAAAGGUGGCCGUUCUCCAUAGGCAUCUCCAGUAUCUUAACCUCGUCAGGUUCUCCAUGAGGUUUUCUCUAGUGAGUUUGUUCAUGUCCCUGCAGCUCUAGAGAUGGCUUUCACAAUUCCAUCUAAAGACUCCAAGGUCGCUAUUCCAAAUGGGAUACAGAUCAGAACAUCAGGGAGGUUUCAUGUGACUUAGUGCUGUCUUGGGAAAAUUCUGACUUUAUUUUUCAUCUGCUGCACCCAAUAUGCACAGUAUUUGUUUGGCAAUCCAGAGUGAAGAGGCACCUAUGAAAGUGUAUUUGACAGUCAUGGGGAAAAAGUUGAGUUAGGUACUAUCCUUCAAGGCUCUUCUGUG
rnacentral:lncRNA from 1 species